GAGUGUUUAUUUUUUAAUUGAUGUGCUGUUUCAUUUAGCGCUUGUAUGGAACUCAUGCUGGGGCAGUAAUUACUGUAAUCUCGGGAACAAGCAUUUCAGUUAGCCAGGAGGGUGGCAGAAUAUGUUUCUCUCUCUCUUUCUCUCCCUCCCUCCCGCCUCCUCCCCAUCUCCGUCCCCCUCUCUCCCUCUUCCUCCCUGCCUCUCUUCUGUCUUCCCUCUCUCUCUCUCCCCACCUCCUUUCCUUCUCUCUCUCCCCCACCACUUUCUCUCCCCCCUCCUCCUCUUCCCCUCCUCCCUCUCCUUCCUUCCCUCCCUUUUCUCUCCGCUCUCUCACUCUCUUCUUGUUUCAAGAUUUUUGCUAUUUGCCAGGUUUCAUACCGGAACAAGUACAGUUGGAGAACAAAAGUUGCAGAGGGCGUGGGGACAGAGCAAAAGAAUUAAAAGUACAUUUGAGGCCAGUUCCGGUUUUCGGGGCGCUGCUGGUGGUGGUGGUAGCUCGUGGUUGUCCGUUCAGAAACAACUCUUGUCAUAAAACAAAAAUAACCAGCAGUAUUUGUAGAUUGCUUGAGCUGAUGGCAUCUAUGUCUUCCUCCUCCUGCUUUCUGUAGCUCAGUUAGCAACCUCAUUAUGAAACAUAUUACAAGUAGACUGUCAGACCGCACCCUGCCCCAGCGCCCCGUUUUUGGCAAGUUCUGUGUUCUAGGCAUAUCCACCAAUCUAUAGUUAUACCCCCCUAUCUUUUUAACUUUUUUAGUUUUAGUCUAUAGAGUUGAACCUCUUUAUACUGAAAAACAACACUUCCUUCCCACUUUUGUUUUGGAAAAACUAAAGUCCGUAGGAAUUCGGAAUUCAAAGGCUUCAGAAAUAUUAGCUGAUUCAGCAGAAAACGGGCUAUUCAAAAAUACAGACUAGACCUUUACUUGAUUAAAAAAUUUUUUUUCUUUUCUCACCUCCUGCAAAUCGGAAUUCCCACUUGUAUGUUGAAUGUAGAAAUUCACUAUCUCUGCGGUUGGCACCUUGUUUCCAGAGGGCGAGUCUCCAGAACGCAUCAGCUGCAGGUCAAGAUGAAAAGUUUGAUGAUGUGGAAUGUGGAAAUUUUGGGUAAGUAUGUUAAGUUUGCAUGAGAAAAUAAGCAGACUGAAGUUCAGAAUUUCAAAAAUCAUAUCAGCUAUUUGGGAGAUCUUAGUGAUUUGUGAGGUUAAAACCAGUUACAUAAAAGUCAUGACAAAUGUACUUUUAAUUGAGAGAAUAUAAGAAUCGCAUUUUACAUCUACUGUUAAAUUAAACGGCUACUUGGUAGUCUUUCAGAGAAGGGAGAGACUUCUGUAGCCAAUUAGUGCGUAAAAGGUAAUGAUGGGUUACCUAGAAGUAACCAGAACAUAUAUCAACUUCUAUGGCUAAAUAAUGAUAUUUUCAUUGUAUGUAAAGCAGCUGUUUUUUAGGGGAGGGGAAAUAGCUUUAGUAGUGACAUAAAUAAUGUAGGGAAGUUUCUAAAGGGAUUUCUGAGCAGAUGGCUUGUUGCUGAAUGGCCUGCAAGCAAAUAAUGUAAACAGUUGGAAUCAGGAAUCUACCUCAGAGGAGGGAAGGUUUUACAAAACGUUGGCUACCGAGUUAGACAGGGGACUAUCAAUACUGUCUGUAACAAAUUUAAGAAACUUUGGGGAAAUCAUGUUCCAGUGGAUUACCAUCUAAAAAUCCAAUAUAAGAAUCUGGAUGGAAGAGAGAGCCUGGCAUAUACUAACAGAAUGAUACGUUCCAAAGAUUAAAUGAGGAACUCUUUGGUAACUAAUACAAUUUCUCAGGUGUUAUAAACUGCCAAAUAUUGGCCAGAUACGGUGACUCAUGCCUGUAAUCCCAGCACUUUGGGACGCUGAGGCAGGCAGAUCGCUUGAGUCUAGGAGUUCGAGACCAGCCUGGGCAACAUAGCAAAACCCUGUCUCUACAAAAAAUACAAACAUGAGCUGGGUGCGGUGGCAUGUGCCUGUAGUCCCAGCUACACCAGAGGCUGAGGUGGGAGG
rnacentral:lncRNA from 1 species